rnacentral:tRNA from 1 species
GAUGAAGUGCCUGAUAAAAGGAUUACCGUGAUAGAGUAAAUAAUGUAAUUUUAACAAAUACCUUCAUUA